UGGACAAUGGACAACGAAGAAAUGUACUC
rnacentral:sRNA from 1 species